rnacentral:lncRNA from 1 species
CACCUGGCACCUGGCGGCAGCGCACCUGUAGCCGGGACCGCGGGGGACGCCGGGGCCUGCACCUCCGCCCCGCGCCCCAACUUCCCCGAGCUUGUUGAGGGGUCCGGGCCCGGCGUGGGCUGAGGGUCUACGUUCCUGCCACGCGCCAGGUGCGCGGGCACCUGGUCGGGUCCUAUGCAUCCCGGUGCCACUGGUGGGAACAAAGGAGGUCGGGGCAGUGCAGCCUUGGUGGCUGUCUGCAGACAGGCGAGUCCAAGCGAGGCCCGCGUCCCACCUGUCAGCUCUGUGACUUUGAUCAGAUGUCUAAUCUCUCUGUGCCUCAGUUUCCUGACUUGUGAAAGUUGUAAGGAUGACAUACACAGCCCUGUGCAUCACAACAGCCAGAGAAGCCAGCACAACCAAGAUUUGGCUCAUGGUCUCUGUUCAUGGAUUCUCUCAGACUUGGUCCAAUUAUGGGAAGCUGAGCCAGAAGGAGCAGGGAAGGAAGACAGGAAAGGAAGAAAGGAAGGACAGAAAGUAUCAUACUAGGAUGGGAUGCAGUGAUCCCCAGUGCUGCAUACAGAAUGGACAAUAAAGAGUUCAUCUUCAAUCUCAAAACUCCCUGUGCCCAGUAGGCACAUAGUAGCUAGGAGUUAAUUUGUUAAAUAAACAACUCCAUCAAGAGUUAGAGACAUAUUCUCGAAUCUUGCUAUCACAAUAGUAGCUCGCCCCCCUAGAAUCUGUGUAAACCUCCUUCAAAACCAAUUACAUUUUCACUUUGCACUGGUGCUCAGCAUAAUCAGCCCAAGGAACUGACUUCCCUCUGAAUGGCUGUGAUUCUACAAGACAGGCUUGGGAAGAAGCGCUGAUCCAGAGUGAGGGCCUGGGACUGAUGGUCAUCUGGUGUGGGACUUGGGCUCGUUUCUGCUGAUGGGCAGUUCUGUGAGCUUAGGUCCAUUGCCAACCUCUCUGAACUCCGCUGUCCUGGUUUUAUGCAAACGAGCAUAAUUAUCCUCAUGUCUCAGGGUGGUCUUAAAAGUGAAAUGAGACCACAUGCAGGGAAGGACAUUGUGCAAAUACUAAGGUCUCAAAUUCACCUCUCCAAUUUUAAUGUUUCCCUUUAUGAAAGUAGCCAGGUCAAUUUCCUGCUAAUUGUAUGUAGUAAAUAAAUAUUUAU